UACGAAGGGUGCGAGCGUUAUUCGGAAUCACUGGGCGUAAAGGGUGCGUAGACGGUAUGUUAAGUUUGUUGUUAAAGGCUCCGGCCUAAACCGGAGUAUUGCGAUGAAAACUGGCAUGCUAGAGGGUGAGAGAGAGAAGUGGAAUUCCUGGAGUAGCGGUAAAAUGCAUGGAUCUCAGGAGGAACACCAAUGGCGAAGGCAGCUUCUUGGCUCAUACCUGACGUUGAGGCACGAAAGCGUGGGGAGCAAACAGG
rnacentral:rRNA from 1 species